AUCACACAUGAGGAGGGAAUACACGACCUGUCUGUGCUGCCCCAAACACACACAAACACACAAACAAAAAGCCGGGACCACCUCCCCUGGCCGCCGGCCUCACUGCAGUCUCUGCUCUGAUUGGUCAAAGCAAACAGAGGGGUGGGCUUUGAAUGCCCAUAGGUUUAGAGCCUGAGGGCUUUUAUGCAAUAUGGGAAAAAAAGAGUUAGAGUUACAUCAUAUAGUUCUAUAUAGUUCAGUGUGCUGCAGUGUCAGAGUGAAGGCUGCAGCGUGUCCUGAAGCAGAGGCCACAGAUGCAGCUCAGCAGCUCCCACUGGUCAUGAAUGAAGAGCCGCCACUCUGCAGACAGCAGAGCAGGAAGAGACUGACUUCAUCUACCCUCACACGGCUGUUCUGCUCUCCUGCUUUGACAUUUGCAAAUUUCUGCUCCUUGGGCUUUGACUAGGCCAAAGGUCUCCAUCUCCAGUUCUCGAGGGCUACUGCCCUGCAACCUUCAGAGUGAAGCCCUACCCAUUUGAUGACGGGUCCAUUGACCCCUGAGUGUCGCUGUUCUCUGGCAGCUGUAACCUGAAACACAGGAACAAAAUUGAAGGUGUUCAGAGAAAAGCAGCAACUCUCAAGGGAUAAAACCAGCUGAAAGCACAGCUAUUGUUUGAGAAACACAAGCGUGAGAGCCACAGAAACACAGGCAGGGAUAGAUGCAGACACUCCCAUAUUGCAAAGGUAUUCACAACAAUCUAAGGGGAGAUUUUUAGAUAAUAUUUACUUGACAUUUUUGGGUGAAAAUGGCCUGAUUUUUAGUUUAUUAGUUUAGUUUUGAUCCUCUGUAAGUUUCACUAACAUAUUUCAGAAGAAUCAGAAGAA